AACGAACGCUGGCGGCAUGCCUAACACAUGCAAGUCGAACGAGACCUUCGGGUCUAGUGGCGCACGGGUGCGUAACGCGUGGGAACCGGCCCUUAGGUUCGGAAUAACUCCCCGAAAGGGGUGCUAAUACCGGAUAAUGUCUUCGGACCAAAGAUUUAUCGCCUUUGGAUGGGCCCGCGUUGGAUUAGCUAGUUGGUAGGGUAAAAGCCUACCAAGGCGACGAUCCAUAGCUGGUCUGAGAGGAUGAUCAGCCACACUGGGACUGAGACACGGCCCAGACUCCUACGGGAGGCAGCAGUGGGGAAUAUUGGACAAUGGGCGAAAGCAUGAUCCAGCAAUGCCGGGUGAGUGAUGAAGGCCUUAGGGUUGUAAAGCUCUUUUACCCGGGAUGAUAAUGACAGUACCGGGAGAAUAAGCUCCGGCUAACUCCGUG
rnacentral:rRNA from 1 species